GUUUUGUUCACCUUUCAUUUGCCUUUACGACACUAUCGGUUGGGUUUAGAUGUUGAUUUAGGGUAAGCGUGUGUGUUUUGUUCACCUUUCAUGUGUGUACAUGACACUAUCGGUUAGGUUUAGAUGUUGAUUUAGGGUAAGCAUGUGUGUUUUGUUCACCUUUCAUGUGUGUACAUGACACUAUCGGUUAGGUUUAGGUGUUGAUUUAGGGUAAGCAUGUGUGUUUUGUUCACCUUUCAUUUGCAUUUAUGACACUAUCGGUUAGGUUUAGAUGUUGAUUUAGGGUAAGCAUGUGUGUUUUGUUCACCUUUCAUUUGCGAUAACGACACUAUCGGUUAGGUUUAGGUGUUGAUUUAGGGUAAGCAUGUGUGUUUUGUUCACCUUUCAUUUGUGUUUAUGACACUAUCGGUUAGGUUUAGAUGUUGAUUUAGGGUAAGCAUGUGUGUUUUGUUCACCUUUCAUUUGCGAUAACGACACUAUCGGUUAGGUUUAGGUGUUGAUUUAGGGUAAGCGUGUGUGUUUUGUUCACCUUUCAUUUGCGUUUACGACACUAUCGGUUGGGUUUAGAUGUUGAUUUAGGGUAAGCGUGUGUGUUUUAUUCACCUUUCAUUUGUGUUUAUGACACUAUCGGUUAGGUUUAGGUGUUGAUUUAGGGUAAGCGUGUGUGUUUUGUUCAUCUUUCAUUUGCGUUUAUGACACUAUCGGUUAGGUUUAGGUGUUGAUUUAGGGUAAGCAUGUGUGUUUUGUUCACCUUUCAUUUGCCUUUACGACACUAUCGGUUGGGUUUAGAUGUUGAUUUAGGGUAAGCGUGUGUGUUUUGUUUAUCUUUCAUUUGCGUUUAUGACACUAUCGGUUAGGUUUAGGUGUUGAUUUAGGGUAAGCGUGUGUGUUUUGUUCACCUUUCAUUUGCGUUCAUGACACUAUCGAUUAGGUUUAGGUGUUAAUUUAGGGUAAGCAUGUGUGUUUUGUUCACCUUUCAUUUGCCUUUACGACACUAUCGGUUGGGUUUAGUUGUUGAUUUAGGGUAAGCGUGUGUGUUUUAUUCACCUUUCAUGUGUGUACAUGACACUAUCGGUUAGGUUUAGAUGUUGAUUUAGGGUAAGCGUGUGUGUUUUGUUCACCUUUCAUUUGCGUUUACAACACUAUCGGUUAGGUUUAGAUGUUGAUUUAGGGUAAGCGUGUGUGUUUUGUUCACCUUUCAUUUGCGUUUACGACACUAUCGGUUAGGUUUAGGUGUUGAUUUAGGGUAAGCGUGUGUGUUUUGGUCACCUUUCAUGUGUGUACAUGACACUAUCGGUUAGGUUUAGGUGUUGAUUUAGGGUAAGCAUGUGUGUUUUGUUCACCUUUCAUGUGUGUACAUAACACUAUCGGUUAGGUUUAGGUGUUGAUUUAGGGUAAGCGUGUGUGUUUUAUUCACCUUUCAUGUGUGUACAUGACACUAUCGGUUGGGUUUAAAUGUUGAUUUAGGGUAAGCAUGUGUGUUUUGUUCACCUUUCAUUUGCGUUUACGACACUAUCAGUUAGGUGUAGUUGUUGACUUAGGGUAAGCGUGUGUGUUUUAUGCACCUUUCAUUUGCGUUUACGACACUACCGGUUAGGUGUAGUUGUUGAUUUAGGGUAAGCGUGUGUGUUUUAUGGACCUUUCAUUUGCGUUUACGACACUGUCGGUUAGGUUUAGAUGUUGAUUUAGGGUAAGCAUGUGUGUUUUGUUCACCUUUCAUGUGUGUACAUGACACUAUCGGUUAGGUUUAGGUGUUGAUUUAGGGUAAGCAUGUGUGUUUUGUUCACCUUUCAUUUGCGUUUAUGACACUAUCGGUUAGGUUUAGAUGUUGAUUUAGGGUAAGCGUGUGUGUUUUGUUCACCUUUCAUUUGCGUUUACGACACUAUCAGUUAGGUUUAGGUGUUGAUUUAGGGUAAGCGUGUGUGUUUUGUUCACCUUUCAUUUGCCUUUACGACACUAUCGGUUGGGUUUAGAUGUUGAUUUAGGGUAAGCGUGUGUUUUGUUCACCUUUCAUGUGUGUACAUGACACUAUCGGUUAGGUUUAGGUGUUGAUUUAGAGUAAGCAUGUGUGUUUUGUUCACCUUUCAUUUGCGUUCAUGACACUAUCGGUUAGGUUUAGGUGUUGAUUUAGAGUAAGCAUGUGUGUUUUGUUCACCUUUCAUUUGCGUUCAUGACACUAUCGGUUAGGUUUAGGUGUUGAUUUAGGGUAAGCAUGUGUGUUUUGUUCACCUUUCAUUUGCAUUUAUGACACUAUCGGUUAGGUUUAGGUGUUGAUUUAGGGUAAGCGUGUGUGUUUUGGUCACCUUUCAUGUGUGUACAUUACACUAUCGGUUAGGUUUAGGUGUUGAUUUAGGGUAAGCAUGUGUGUUUUGUUCACCUUUCAUUUGCAUUUAUGACGCUAUCCGUUAGGUUUAGUUGUUGAUUUAAGGUAAGCGUGUGUGUUUUGUUCACCUUUCAUUUGCGAUAACGACACUAUCGGUUAGGUUUAGAUGUUGAUUUAGGGUAAGCAUGUGUGUUUUGUUCACCUUUCAUUUGCGUUUACGACACUAUCGGUUAGGUUUAGGUGUUGAUUUAGGGUAAGCGUGUGUGUUUUGUUUAUCUUUCAUUUGCGUUUACGACACUAUCGGUUAGGUUUAGAUGUUGAUUUAGGGUAAGCGUGUGUGUUUUGUUCACCUUUCAUUUGCGUUUAUGACACUAUCGGUUAGGUUUAGGUGUUGAUUAAGGGUAAGCAUGUCUGUUUUGUUUACAUCUUGUCUACAUUUGCUUUUUUUAACACUAUUGCUUAAAUUUAGGUUAAAGUUGUAGGUUAGGGAGGUAUAUUUUACACAUCAAAACCUCCAUCAAAUAUUCUUCUUAAAAACCUUGUCUGAUUCGGACACCAUUUCACUUGCUUUUGGCACCCCAGCUGGACAUUUCACUUGGAAACUGCAGCCACACGUGCAAUGAAGCACAUAAUAUCGAUAUGCAAAAUGUUGCUACGUUCAUUAGAUCAGGCUGAUAUCGUGGCAGUUUCUUGGUGAAAUGAACACUAGAGGGUGCUAUAACAACAAUGCUUUUAUUGACUUUCACACAAAUCACGAGUAAAACGGCAUAUUAUCAGUACAUGAACACUUACGUUUCGCCCUGUUCCUCACACAAUUCUAUCUAAUGACUUCUGAGCACUUAUAGCGGUGAUACAUGUUAACUGUUGCAUUACAUAUUCAACAACAUUUACAAAUUGCAACUGACAGAGCUUUGCACUUGUGAUGCAAAGGAUUGGGGACGAAUCUCGAAGAGCACGUGAGAUGACACGUGUCAAAGAAGCACCUCAAAUUGACGUGGUUGCUUCAGCAUUUUAGUUUUUCGUAUCAUAUUAGCGCUUAUGACACGGUU